rnacentral:rRNA from 1 species
GGGCCCGCACAAGCGGUGGAGUAUGUGGUUUAAUUCGAUGCAACGCGAAGAACCUUACCAGGGUUUGACAUCCUGCGAAUCUCUUGGAAACUUGAGAGUGCCUUCGGGAGCGCAGUGACAGGUGGUGCAUGGCUGUCGUCAGCUCGUGUCGUGAGAUGUUGGGUUAAGUCCCGCAACGAGCGCAACCCACGUCUUUAGUUGCCAGCAUUUAGUUGGGCACUCUAGAGAGACCGCCGGUGAUAAACCGGAGGAAGGUGUGGAUGACGUCAAGUCAUCAUGCCCCUUACACUCUGGGCUACACACGUGCUACAUUGGGUAGAACAGACGGCCGCAAACCCGCGAGGGGGAGCCAAUCCCAUAAACCGUGGCUCAGUUCGGAUAGGAGUCUGCAAGUCGACUCCUUGAAGUUGGAGUC